UACAGAGGUCUCAAGCGUUGUUCGGAUUCAUUGGGCGUAAAGGGUGCGUAGGCGGGUUAUUAAGUCAGAGGUGAAAUCCUGGAGCUCAACUCCAGAACUGCCUUUGAUACUGAUAGUCUUGAGUAUGGGAGAGGUGAGUGGAACUGCGAGUGUAGAGGUGAAAUUCGUAGAUAUUCGCAAGAACACCAGUGGCGAAGGCGGCUCACUGGCCCAUAACUGACGCUGAGGCACGAAAGCGUGGGGAGCAAACAGG
rnacentral:rRNA from 1 species